rnacentral:rRNA from 1 species
GUCUAUGCUGUCAAAUAUGAGUGCUAGUGUUGGGUAAGUUAUCUGGCAUAAAGUUAACACGUUAAGCACUCCGCCUGGGGAGUACGAUCGCAAGAUUGGAACUCAAAGGAAUUGACGGGGAUCUACACAAGUGGUGGAGCAUGUGGUUUAAUGCGAUAAUACACGCAGAACCUUACCAGUUUUUGAAUAAAUUUUAUAAUUAAAUUAUUUUAGUUAUUAUUAAAAAGUGUCAAUACAAUUUUAAAUAAAAUUUACAGGUAUUGCAUGGCUGUCGU